UUGCCGCCCUGGGCUGGAGGAUCACACCGAUGCUGGGGAAGCCUGGCUGAGACUGGUCGGCCAUGGAUCUGAAGUCCAAAGGAGAGGGGCGGCAGAACUCUAUGGAAGUGAUUGUGUUUGCUAAUGGCUACAAGUACAGAACGGGAAUUUACGUCCUCAACACUCAGACUUCAAGAUUUUUAGAGCAUUACUCAAAACAUUUCAUGAAGAUGAUCUAUUGUCCUGUGCUGAUUUCAAGAGGGUUUUUGACAUAUUCCUGUCCGUAAGAGAACACCGGGGAAGAGGUCAUUAACUUAGAAUGAAGAAGUCAUCUUUUCCAGUUCUGGUGAUGUUAUUUGUACUCAUGGCUGAAGUCAGGCAUAUUAUUGGACUGAAGAUUUUCAUUAGACACUUUGAUUCCAAACAUUAGAUCCAAUGUCAUCCCUUUUUUGAAUUGAGUUAGUAUAUAACCACAAUUUCUGGUUUUGUAUAGGUAUAUACUUAUAUAAAUGUUUGAUGUCAGAAAUCAUGUUAGAUUUUAAUCUAUCCUGAAUUUUAUGGGAAACUAGAUUUUGGAGAUAAAAGUGAUUUAGCCAAAAUGUUAUAGUUAACAACAAAAGUGGAACAGGAUUGAAAGAAUUUGACAUUUAGCAAGCUAGUAUCCACAUAUAGCAUUGUGUCUUAGAAAUUCAGGCUUUGGGAAAGUGGCUUAUAUCACUUUGCAGUUUUUCAGCAUCUUUUUUUUUUUUCUGUUCCAUGAGGAAAAUUACAAUUAGAUAGCUAUCUUCAUAGUUAUGAUUAGAUGUUGGAUAUUCUUAUGGAAUCAAAUAUGUAUGUAGAAAAAAAAAUAUGUUGAGUCUGACUCAGGGAAAAAGCUAAAAUCUCAGAUUUAAUCAAUAAGUACAUUAAAGCCUCUACUGAUCCUGCUCAUACAAAAAAUUCCAUACAUAAAGUCACUCGACAAAUUCAUUUGGCGAGUUAAAUGAGAGUAUAUCUCCUAAUUUGUUUUCAUAUUUAAUUAUCCAUUUAUUCUUUUGAUUCAUAGGCAGUAAUUUCAUAUUGUUGAUUCCCUCUUGACCUUGUGCUUGUAACUGAAUCCUGAGAUCUGGCGUGGGGCCCAGGAAUAUGUAGAAAAUUGUUUAUAUUAGCAGCAGGCUGCCUUGACUGCAAGGCUUUGAUUUAACAUUAUAACUGUACUAAAAGUAGCAAAGCUUUCCCAUGUACUCUCUAUUCUGUUCAAAUCCCUUGUCAUUAUAACAGAUGUUUGGAUUAUUGUUCUGUAAACUAUGUCAGAAUUUCAAUCUCUAGUAUCUGUUUAUUAUUCUCCAAGGGUGAUAUUACAAAUGUUCUCAUGCACAGUUAAUACUUAUAAAACAGUCUGUCUUAUUUCCCACAAAAAAAAAAUCACAGCAGAAAGUUUUUGUUAAUCAGAGUAAAUAUACCUAGUUUAGAAAAGAUUGUUUUAAGUGCUCAUGAAUCAAAGACUCCAGCUAGCAAGAGGCAACAUUUCAAAAGAUAUUCCAGUCGUUUAAAAAGAAAAUACCAUAGCUUUCAUCUUAAGCCUCAUGAAAUACUAAUUUUUAAAAUUGAUUUAAGUACGAGUCCAGAUAAAAUGUCGCAUUAAGUAUUUUUAAUGAUUUGAGUCUGAUAGUGAGAUAUAACCUACUUUAUAUUAAUGCCUGUGAAAACCAUAUCAGCUGAUACAACCUCAAAGUUUCAAAUGUGUAAUAUGAUCAAAAUAAGAUGAUUUGUGGAAUAACACAAUGAAAGCUCAGUUGUUUAUAAAGAUAUUGGAAAUAUGUGGUGAAGACUCCAACGCUUAAAAUUUGUACUUGAGUAGCAAACCCUAUUACAUUAACAGAAAAACAAGCCAGCUGACAACUUUUUAAAAUACAUUUUCAAAGCCUGAACUGUUAGUUUCCUCCUGUUGUUUGAAUGAGUUAUGGCAGCAUUUACAAGGGCAUGAAAUAAGAUUUCCUGAGGUGAUUCGGUCCAAUUGGAUAUUGAUGAAGAACAAAAUCUCUGGAAUACCAUUUGUUUCCCCUCCAGAGUUUUAUAUUUUUAUCUUUUAAUUUUAGCUUACCAGAGAACUGUUGUGUUCUAAACAGAGCCCCUAUAAAGGAGCAGUGUUCCUUCGGAGCACAAGGACAAAUACACAGUGCUCUGAAGAAAAUCUGUGCCACUAGAAAUCAAGGCUUUCAGCUCUGUAGCUGGAUCCAUCUCCAUGAAAAGAACCUACAGCUCCCUCUUACCUCAUGUGUAUCCCUACAUUUUUAUAAUUUCAAAUCUUUAGUCCUUCCUCUUUUGCAUCUAAAAGUGACAUUUUAAAAACCAGAAAGGGGUAGGGAAACCAACUGUUCUGAAAUGAUUUAGAAGGGGAAUGACAGAAUUCUUCAGGGAAAUAAAACGAAAGGGGAAGGGAGAGUUUAUGAAAAAGGGUCAAUUAGCUACUCAAUCAGCCCCUAGAAGAAGGUGUGGUAGCUUUUACUUCAUUCAUUUUGCCUUUAAGAAUGGACAGAUAUAACAGAGUUUGGAGUCUGCAAGAAUAUCAGCAUACAUUAUGCUUGCAUUUAGGGUUUUAAAAAACAAAGGGAGAGAAAAAAAAAAAAACAAGGUCAGCUUCGGAAAUGAUGAAUGCCUUUUUGCUGAAAGCUGCACUGAACGUCCUUGAGUUUAAUCAAAACUAUUUGUUUUUAGUCAGCUCUGCUGUUGUCUCUUUUACUCGUGUCCACUGAUAGCUUGACAUUAAUGACAUCAUGAAUCAUGUGAAGUGGCGGCUUGGGUUUGGUAGCAUUUCAAGUGUUUGCUGAGAUGUCCUGGGCUAUCUGAGGGGCUGGUGCAAGGUUGGAUAUCACCCUGGACUGAAUCUUUAGUUUAUGGCAUUGUUAGGUCAGUAAAAUCAUAGGAUGCCUUAUUGAUCUUGAUGGGCCUUCUUUAAAAAAUGUCUGGACACUCAUGACACGCAGACUUUACAAAAUUACUGAAUUGACGUAUUUACCUUCAGUUCAUUUUUUUUUUUGAAAUUCUUAAAAGCUUAUUAUAAAACAGCACAUUAAAAUCAAAACUUUCUCAUUGCUCUGGUCAAUCCCCAUGACCAUUCCUUGAUGAGCAUCAAAACAUCGGUCU